CGUCGAACCGCAGCUCACCAGGAAGCCCGAAAUCGCACCAUCAUCGCAAGUCACCAGGAAGCCCUAAAUCGCAACUCACCAUCGUCGCACCAUUAUCGUCGCUGCGUCCUUCCCGAAAUCGUCGCUUCCUCCUCCUUCCCGGCGUCACUGAGUCUCUCCUCUCCACGGCGUCGCUGCUUCUCCCCUCUCCGUGGCUUCAGUGCUUCUCCGUUCUCCAUGGCGUCCUUGCGUCUCCCCUGUUCUGCUUCUGCUUCGCUGCUUCUCCCCUGUUGUGCUUCGCUGCUUCUGCUUCACUGGGUUGUGCUUCGCUGCUUCUGCUUUGCUGCUGCUGCUUCACUACAUCGGCUGUUUUUGGGUUGUCAUCUGUGAGACAACAGUGAAGAAAACAUGAGGACCUACACAAUGCUUGAAGAUUCAUGCAAGACAGUUGGAAGAUAGAGAAGAAAUUUCUCUAGAUAUUGAAGGAGAGGCAAUUGGUCCUACUGAUGAAGCUGUAAACAACUUGAGCAAAUUUUUGGGCACAGUGACAAGGAAUUCAGAUUUUUGUCCAUUAAUUUACACAAAUUAGAAGGGGAUUAAAGAUAAAGAAGCCAUUUGGGAAUAUGUUCAAGCUAAAUUCAUUAUUCCAACUGAAGGAAAGAGGAUGGUCCUUGCUCGUAUCAAUGACAACUGGAGAAGGUAUAAGACCACAAUAAAGCAAACUCAUUUUCUGCCAUACAAAUGUGUUAAUAAGAUGCUGAAAA